rnacentral:rRNA from 1 species
CCCUCCCUCUUUCUUCCUGCCUAACACAUGCAAGUCGAACGAGACCUUCGGGUCUAGUGGCGCACGGGUGCGUAACGCGUGGGAACCUGCCCUUAGGUGCGGAAUAAAUCCCCGAAAGGGGUGCUAAUACCGGAUAAAGUCUUCGGAACAAAGAUUUAUCGCCUUUGGAUGGGCCCGCGUUGGAUUAGCUAGUUGGUAGGGUAAAAGCCUACCAAGGCGACGAUCCAUAGCUGGUCUGAGAGGAUGAUCAGCCACACUGGGACUGAGACACGGCCCAGACUCCUGCGGGAGGCAGCAGUGGGGAAUAUUGGACAAUGGGCGAAAGCCUGAUCCAGCAAUGCCGCGUGAGUGAUGAAGGCCUUAGGGUUGUAAAGCUCUUUUACCCGGGAUGAUAAUGACAGUACCGGGAGAAUAAGCUCCGGCUAACUCCGUG